ensembl:lncRNA
GUCACGUUGGCCUCUGGGGGGGAGGGGAGCGCGCAUGUCGUCAACGGCUGUGUUCAGUCAACUUCAGCCAAUUUGUUGAACAUUUCGGCAAGUUUGAUGAAGGGCUUAUCUAAAUAUUUGAUAAGACUAUGUCUUAAAGCAGGGCUCCUCAGCCAUGGGAAACGGGCCCAUGUUGGUCACCCCACAUGCAGAUGGGGUCGUGGGUGAUUUGCAACUUUAAAAUUAUUUGCUUUUGAUCUGAUCUUUGUUUGAUAUCGUAGCGACGGCUUGUGCUAACCUCGGGCUUAGGUUUUAGUGAUGGGACUCGGGUUUGGUUUGAGGGUUAGGUGUUAUGGUUAGGUUUUAGUGAUAGGGUUCGGGUUUGGUUUGAGGUUUAGGAGUCAUGGUUAGGUUUUAGUGAUAGGGUUCGGGUUUGGUUUGAGGGUUAGUUGUCAUGGUUAGGUUUUAGUGAUAGGGUUCGAGUUUGGUUUUAGGGUUCAAUUUCAUUCUUAGCUUUUAGUGAUAGGGUUAGGGUUUGGUUUUAGGGUUAGGUUUUGUUUUAGGGUUAGGUGUCAUGAUUUAGUGAUAGUUUUAGGUUUUAGGGUUAGGUGUCAUGGUUUAGUGAUAGUUUUAGGGUUUGUUUUUAGGUUAGGUGUCAUGGUUUGGUGAUAGUGUUAGGGUUUGGUUUUAGGUUAGCUAUCAUGGUUAGGUUUUAGUGAUAGGGUAAGGGUCUAGUUUUAGGGAUAGGUGUCAUGGUUAGGUUUGGUCAUAGGGUUAGGGUUUUGUUUUAGGAUUAGUUGUCAUGCUUAGGUUUUAUUGAUAGGGUUAGGGUUUGGUUUGAGGGUUAAGGUUUGGACCACUCCCAGAGAUGGGGACCUGUUCCGGGAGCAGCCCAAUGACCCAGGACGGGCCUUCGGGGCCCGGGAGGCCACUGGGUUUCGGGCUCCGAAAUGUGAAUUUUAGAUAAAGGAAGGGUUUGUUUUUAUUAUUAUGUUUAGUAUUAUUUUGUAGCCUACUUAUGGGGGCCGUGAUAAAUGUAAGACAUAAAAAUGGGGUUACAGUUGAAAAAAGGAUGAGAACCCCUGUAUUAAAUAUACCACGCAAUGGAGUUGAUGUGAUUUAAGUUGCUAUGCAUUAAUAACAACAACUCCAGUGUAGUAUAUUCACUGUUUAGUUGACACUUAUCCAAAGUGACUUAAAGUUCUCUAUUUUGAGUGGCA